rnacentral:rRNA from 1 species
UACAGAGGGUGCGAGCGUUGUCCGGAAUCACUGGGCGUAAAGGGCGCGUAGGCGGCUUUUCAAGCGUGCGGUGAAAGCUCGGGGCUUAACUCCGAGUCUGCCGUGCGAACUGGGAGGCUUGAGUCUGGUAGAGGUCGAUGGAAUUCCGGGUGUAGCGGUGGAAUGCGUAGAGAUCCGGAAGAACACCGGUGGCGAAGGCGGUCGACUGGGACAGUACUGACGCUGAGGCGCGACAGCGUGGGGAGCAAACAGG